UGGAUGGAGACAGGGACAACUUGCCAGC
rnacentral:piRNA from 1 species